GGGGCUGUAGCUCAGUUGGGAGAGCGCUUGAAUGGCAUUCAAGAGGUCGUCGGUUCGAUCCCGAUCAGCUCCACCA
rnacentral:tRNA from 54 species